rnacentral:lncRNA from 1 species
UUUAAGCUUUCGAGCGGAGCUAAAGGAAUUAGAGAGUCUCUUACGCAAUUUGUACUCCCAAUUUUUAUAAAUUUCACGGUUAUACUGGUCCUUCCAGGAACACUUAGUCUCCAAAUAAAGUAAGUAAUAUUAGAUGAAAAUAUUAUUAAUAUAACGCUUAAAUAAAUAAGAAUUAUAUUAAAACCUUAAAUUGGUUGAACAUAUGAAAAUAUUAUUAAUAUAACGCUUUAAUAAAUAAGAAUUGUAUAAAAACCUUAAAUUGGUUGAACAUAUGUCGUACAAGACUUUGUAGAAAGUCACUCCAAGUCGGAUAGGGUGUCAAGUACAACGUGCCAAGUAUUAUAGUGAUUAUCUUUGUAACCAUCCUAUUUGGAAUAAACCUGCAACAUUGAAAUUAUAUUAAAUAAAUAAGAGUAGCUUUAUAAUUCGGCAAAAAUAAAGAAGUAACAAAUAAAUCGUACCCAUUGCCCUCAGGCCUGAUGAUCAACCUAUGGUAAUGAUCAUAACACACAUCAUUCGCAUCAUUAUCCGGAUCAUCUGAAGCAUGUGCAGAAGAGGGGGCAUCUGGCUCAGUGCUACUAUCCCAAACACGAUGUCUAGAAAUGCUAGGAGAUGAUCUCUAUGGAGAGGGAGACGGGGUAUCAAAUGAAGAUGGCUGUGAUCCACAUCCCUGCAC